rnacentral:rRNA from 1 species
UACGUAGGGUGCGAGCGUUGUCCGGAAUUAUUGGGCGUAAAGAGCUUGUAGGCGGUUUGUCGCGUCUGCCGUGAAAAUUCGAGGCUCAACCUCGAACUUGCGGUGGGUACGGGCAGACUAGAGUGUGGUAGGGGAGACUGGAAUUCCUGGUGUAGCGGUGAAAUGCGCAGAUAUCAGGAGGAACACCGAUGGCGAAGGCAGGUCUCUGGGCCACUACUGACGCUGAGAAGCGAAAGCAUGGGGAGCGAACAGGAUUAGAAACCUAGUAGUCC